rnacentral:rRNA from 1 species
AGGACGAACGCUGGCGGCGUGCCUAAUACAUGCAAGUAGAACGCUGAAGGAGGAGCUUGCUUCUCUGGAUGAGUUGCGAACGGGUGAGUAACGCGUAGGUAACCUGCCUGGUAGCGGGGGAUAACUAUUGGAAACGAUAGCUAAUACCGCAUAAGAGUAGAUGUUGCAUGACAUUUGCUUAAAAGGUGCAAUUGCAUCACUACCAGAUGGACCUGCGUUGUAUUAGCUAGUUGGUGAGGUAACGGCUCACCAAGGCAACGAUACAUAGCCGACCUGAGAGGGUGAUCGGCCACACUGGGACUGAGACACGGCCCAGACUCCUACGGGAGGCAGC